AGUGUUAUUUCUAUUCCUAAACCUGAAGCAGAGGUUUAAUUUUUCUCCCACUCUGACUUAUGGGACUAAAUUUUGUACUGUAGGUGCUGGGUACCUGGGAAGGCACAGCAUUUUCACCUUUAGAUUUCCCACGGUACUUCACGGCAUUCCCUUCAUCUUCUUCACCCCUUCUAUUGGUGGCGGCAUACGUGCGAGUGUUGAAGAGCCAGGUUUUGAUUUGGACAGAAGAUAUUCUUCCAUAGAAAUGAUUCAUACUAACUACAGAAAACAGUCAAGAUACUUUGCCAUAAGAUCUAGGACAAGAGGACUCAGCAAUCUUUCCCACCUUGCAGAUCUCCUGGGGACCCUUCACCUGCUUCUGCAACUGCAAAUGAUUGGACAUUCAUUUACCUUGGCUGUUCCUUCACGUGUGCAAACCUUUUGUUCACUGUGCAUCAGGCUGGACCUGGCCUGAAAUUUCUGAAAGAAGGGCCAACAUAAUGCCAAGAACUCUCAGAUGAAGAGGACCUUUCUAGAUCUGUAACUGGGAUUAAUCAAUUCUUCAGGAGGAAGUUUCAACUAAUUCUCAAGAUAAAUCAAAAUAGUCCUCUGACUGUCCUUUAAAUACUGAAGGUGUAAACAAGUGUCUGAC